UUGCCUCAGUAACGGCGAGUGAAGCGGCAAUAGCUCAAAUUUGAAAUCUGGCUCUUUUAGAGUCCGAGUUGUAAUUUGUAGAGGAUGCUUCGGCUUACGUCUCGGUCUAAGUUCCUUGGAACAGGACGUCACAGAGGGUGAGAAUCCCGUUUGUGGCCGCGACUUCCGCCAUGUGAAGCUCCUUCGACGAGUCGAGUUGUUUGGGAAUGCAGCUCUAAAUGGGAGGUAUAUUUCUUCUAAAGCUAAAUACCGGCCAGAGACCGAUAGCGCACAAGUAGAGUGAUCGAAAGAUGAAAAGCACUUUGGAAAGAGAGUUAAAAAGUACGUGAAAUUGUUGAAAGGGAAGCGCUUGCGACCAGACUUGCCCGCGGAUGCUCAACCGGUCCUUCGGCCGGUGCACUCUUCCGCGGUCAGGCCAGCAUCAGUUCGAGCAGUUGGAUAAAGGCUUUGGGAAUGUGGCUCUCUUCGGGGAGUGUUAUAGCCCUUUGUGCAAUACAACUCGCUUGGACUGAGGCCCGCGCUUCGGCUAGGAUGCUGGCGUAAUGGUCGUAAGCGGCCCGUCUUGAAACACGGACCAAGGAGUCUAACAUCUAUGCGAGUGUUUGGGUGUCAAACCCGUGCGCGAAAUGAAAGUGAACGGAGGUGGGAACCUUUGGGUGCACCAUCGACCGAUCCUGAUGUCUUCGGAUGGAUUUGAGUAAGAGCAUAGCUGUUGGGACCCGAAAGAUGGUGAACUAUGCCUGAAUAGGGUGAAGCCAGAGGAAACUCUGGUGGAGGCUCGCAGCGGUUCUGACGUGCAAAUCGAUCGUCAAAUUUGGGUAUAGGGGCGAAAGACUAAUCGAACC
rnacentral:rRNA from 1 species